CUACGGGCGGCAGCAGUGGGGAAUUUUGGACAAUGGGGGCAACCCUGAUCCAGCAACGCCGCGUGAAGGAUGAAGGUUUUCGGAUUGUAAACUUCUUUUGUAGACGACGAAUGGUCCUAUGAAUAGUAGGAUUUGACGGUACUCUACGAAUAAGCCACGGCUAACUACGUGCCAGCAGCCGCGGUAAUACGUAGGUGGCGAGCGUUACUCGGAAUUACUAGGCGUAAAGCGAAGGUAGGUAGUAGGGUAUGUCUGUAAUGAAAUCUCCCGGCUUAACUGGGAGGGGUUUAUGGAAACUGCCUUACUUGAGUGUGGGAGAGGUGACUGGAAUUCCUGGUGUAGCGGUGAAAUGCGUAGAUAUCAGGAGGAACACCUAUGGCGAAAGCAGGUCACUGGCCCGUAACUGACGCUGAGCUUCGAAAGCUAGGGGAGCAAACAGGAUUAGAUACCCUGGUAGUC
rnacentral:rRNA from 1 species